rnacentral:rRNA from 1 species
UGGGGAAUCUUGCGCAAUGGGGGAAACCCUGACGCAGCGACGCCGCGUGCGGGAUGAAGGCCUUCGGGUUGUAAACCGCUUUCAGCAGGGACGAGGCCUUAUGGUGACGGUACCUGCAGAAGAAGCUCCGGCUAAAUACGUGCCAGCAGCCGCGGUAAUACGUAUGGAGCAAGCGUUAUCCGGAUUCACUGGGCGUAAAGCGCUCGUAGGCGGUCUGUUAGGUCGGCAAGUUAAAUCCGGGGGCUCAACCCCCGUCCGCUUCCGAUACCGGCAGACUUGAGUUUGGUAGGGGAAGGUGGAAUUCCUAGUGUAGCGGUGGAAUGCGCAGAUAUUAGGAAGAACACCGGUGGCGAAGGCGGCCUUCUGGGCCAUAACUGACGCUGAGGAGCGAAAGCUAGGGGAGCGAACAGG